GCAGUCGAGGGGUAGAACACUUCGGUGUUUGAGACCGGCGCACGGGUGCGUAACGCGUAUGCAAUCUACCUUAUACAGGGGAAUAGCCCAGAGAAAUUUGGAUUAAUGCCCCAUGGUAUUAUAGAGUGGCAUCACUUUAUAAUUAAAGUUCCAACGGUAUAAGAUGAGCAUGCGUCCCAUUAGUUAGUUGGUAAGGUAACGGCUUACCAAGACGAUGAUGGGUAGGGGUCCUGAGAGGGAGAUCCCCCACACUGGUACUGAGACACGGACCAGACUCCUACGGGAGGCAGCAGUGAGGAAUAUUGGUCAAUGGUCGCAAGACUGAACCAGCCAUGCCGCGUGCAGGAAGACGGUCCUAUGGAUUGUAAACUGCUUUUAUACAGGAAGAAACCCUCCCACGUGUGGGAGCUUGACGGUACUGUAGGAAUAAGGAUCGGCUAACUCCGUGCCAGCAGCCGCGGUAAUACGGAGGAUCCAAGCGUUAUCCGGAAUCAUUGGGUUUAAAGGGUCCGUAGGCGGCCUUAUAAGUCAGUGGUGAAAUCCCAUCGCUCAACGAUGGAACUGCCAUUGAUACUGUAGAGCUUGAAUUAUUGUGAAGUAACUAGAAUAUGUAGUGUAGCGGUGAAAUGCUUAGAUAUUACAUGGAAUACCAAUUGCGAAGGCAGGUUACUAACAAUUGAUUGACGCUGAUGGACGAAAGCGUGGGGAGCGAACAGGAUUAGAUACCCUGGUAGUCCACGCCGUAAACGAUGGAUACUAGCUGUUCGGAGCAAUCUGAGUGGCUAAGCGAAAGUGAUAAGUAUCCCACCUGGGGAGUACGCACGCAAGUGUGAAACUCANAGGAAUUGACGGGGGCCCGCAC
rnacentral:rRNA from 1 species